AUUCUGAACAUGACUUACAACAACUUAUCAUCAGCUUCUUUCUCAGCUAACUUGCUUACCUUGGAGGGUGUCUAAAAGCUCUCUUUUUGGGCGAUAAUGAUUCGAACAGAUUUCAUCAACCUUGAAGUGUUGAUCCUGAGAGAUAAUGACAUUGCUGAUGUACCCUCUACCA